rnacentral:tRNA from 1 species
AGAGGAGGGGCAAAAGAAGACUGAGAAAGUGAAUCUACAAGCAGACUCCCAGCUGAGCAUGAGCUCCAUGCCCAACACAGAGCCUACCCAGGGCUGUAUCCCAGGGCUCUGAGGACAUGACCUGAGCCAAAACCAAGAGUUGGCCGCUUAACCAACUGAGCCACCCAGGCACACUACAACAUUUAUGUUAUGUGCUGAAAAAAGAAUACUAGAACCAUGAAAAAAAGUAGAUAAAUCUCUAUAAUUGCAACGGGAAGAUGUUUGUGAUGUGUUAAGUAAAACAAAAACAAUUUGAGUGCAAUAGAUUUGGCUUUUGAAAAAUCCAAAAAUCCAAUGUUUGGAAUCUAAACAUUCCAUAAUGAUAUAAGCUCCAUUAGUGCAGCUCUUGGUCUGUGUUGUUCACUGUUGUAUCUAGAACUUUGUGACCCAUGGUACAAUCUCAAUAAAUAUUUGGAAUAAAUAAAUGAGUGACUAUCACACAACAUCUAAGGAACUAUAAACAAAAAAGAUUUAUACAUCUGACUACAUAAAAACUUAAAAGAUUAAAAAAAAUUUUUUUUGGCAUGCUGAACACCACCAUGAACAAAGUCAGCAGACUAAUGAUAAACCUCAAAAAAAAAAAAAAAAAAACAAAAAACAAAAAACCAGGCAUCUAUUCUUUGAUGAGCUCGUACAAAUCAAGAUCAACAACAGCCAUGAAAUAGAAAAGAGGGUAAAGGGUAUCAACAGCCAGUUCCCAGAAAAGGAACUGCAAAGGCUCUUCCUUAUGAUGACUUUUAAGAGAAAAUAAAACUAAACUAAAUUUAAAGGCGAUAACUCAAAAAAAAAAUAAUAAAGGAGACAACUCUUUUCCCAGCUCCCAGCUGACAAAGUUACAUUGUACUAGUGGAAUUGCAAAUUGGCCAAACUUUCGGGAGUAUUUUUGACAAUAUCUAACCAGAAUGUAAAGUGAAUAUAUACUUCGAUCUAGCGGCUCUAAUUCUAAAAAAUCAUCCUGUACAAAUAUCACAUUUGAAAUGACACAACUGUGCAGCUAUUUAUUACAUCAUUGCUUACAACCCCAAAAUACUGAAAAUAACCUAAAUGUUAUAGGAAAAAUGAAUCAACGUGCAGUCUAAAAAAUACCAUGCAGACCUAGAAAAGAGUGAGGGAGCUUUUCGUGUAUAGACAUAUGUUAGGAUCUCCAAAUUAUAUUAAGUGAAAAAGGGACAAACACUGUGUAUAGAAUAUCAUUUCUUUAAAAAAAAGAAAAAAGAAAAAAGUGUUUAUAUGGAGUCCUUUGUCCAGAACAACUUUAAAAAAAUACAGAAGAGAUUGUUGAAGGAGGUUACCUUUGGAAAGAGUGACUGUUUGGUAGGGAAAAGGGAGGAAGGAAGCCUCACUUUACUUCAUAUCUUUUACUCAUUUUAAUCAUAUAUUUUUUAAAAAGUUUAUUUUUUUUUAGUAAUCUCUACACCCAAUGUAGGGCUCUAAUUCACAACCCUGAGAUCAAGAGUCUCAUGCUCUUCCAACUGAGCUGGCCAGGUACCCUGAUAUCAUAUCUAAUAAACAUAAUUAGUACUGAAAUACUAAUUGUAUGAACUUCAUCUUGAAAAAAACAUACAUAGGAGCAUAGACUUCUACUUUUUUUAUCCAGAGCAUAGUACUUACUAUGACAGCCAUUACAACCACCAAAUCAUCUAAAAUAUGUAAUUUGGCUCCAAGUGUGACUUUAUUCUAUGCAAAUGGAUACUGUCUGAUGUACUCUGCCUUAUAGGAAUUCAAAAGCACUUGACCAUUGAUAAGUUGAAUUAAUUGGAUAAAAGACUCAUCUAUGUUUUAAAAAUUCUGUUUAUUUACUUGAGAGAAAAAGAGAGACAGAGAUAGAGAGAGCAUGGUGGCGGAGGGCAGAGGGAGAGGGAGAAGCAGACUGUCUGCUGAGCAGGGAGCCUGAUGCAGGCCAAUCCCAGGAGCCCAGGAUCAUGACCAGAGCUGAAGGUAGACACUUAACUGACUGAGCCACCAGGGGCCCCAAGAUUCUUUCAUCUUGAUCCAGUUA